rnacentral:lncRNA from 1 species
GUGUUUAGAUACAUAAUCUAACAUCCAUUUCAAAACGACGUAAUUUUUUUUUCUUUUCCAUUUCAGACGGCAACAUAGAACUUGUGGUCAUCGAUUUCACCAAAUUCACUUCCACAACCAAAAACAUUAGGUGACACAAAUAAACAUUAAAAAAUAAAAAAACAGUGAAUCUAAGGUAACCCGUGAGUGAAGAAUCUGAAUCACG